CCUACGGGAGGCAGCAGUAGGGAAUAUUGCUCAAUGGGGGAAACCCUGAAGCAGCAACGCCGCGUGGAGGAUGAAGGUUUUAGGAUUGUAAACCACUUUCCCCAGGGACGAAAAUGACGGUACCUGGGGAGGAAGCUCCGGCAAACUACGUGCCGGCAGCCGCGGUAAUACGUCGGGAGCGAGCGUUGUCCGGAAUUACUGGGUGUAAAGGGAGCGUAGGCGGGGAUGCAAGUUGGGUGUCAAAACUACCGGCUAAACUGGUAGUCGCACUCAAAACUGCAGCUCGUGAGUGAAGUAGAGGCAGGCGGAAUGCCUAGUGUAGCGGUGAAAUGCGUAGAUAUUAGGAGGAACACCAGUGGCGAAGGCAGCCUGCUGGGCUUUUACUGACGCUGAGGCUCGAAAGUGUGGGGAGCAAACAGGAUUAGAUACCCGUGUAGUC
rnacentral:rRNA from 1 species